CCGAAGAUGGCGGCGGUGGCUGGAUCUGGGGCAGCCGCGGCUCCGAGCUCACUGCUCCUCGUGGUGGGCAGCGAGUUCGGGAGCCCGGGGCUCCUCACCUACGUCCUGGAGGAGCUCGAAAGAGGCCACGCACACCCUCCCCUGAGUCCCACCGGAGCCCCGCAGAGGGCAGCGAGCGGCUGUCGCUGAGCCCACUGCGGGGAGGGGAGGCCGGGCCAGACGCCUCACCCACAGUGACCACACCCACGGUGACCACGCCCUCACUGCCCGCAGAGGUGGGCUCCCCGCACUCGACCGAGGUGGACGAGUCACUGUCGGUGUCCUUUGAGCAGGUGCUGCCGCCAUCCGCCCCCACCAGUGAGGCUGGGCUGAGCCUCCCGCUGCGUGGCCCCCGGGCGCGGCGCUCGGCCUCCCCACACGAUGUGGACCUGUGCCUGGUGUCACCCUGUGAAUUUGAGCAUCGCAAGGCGGUGCCAAUGGCACCGGCACCUGCGUCCCCUGGCAGCUCGAAUGACAGCAGUGCCCGGUCACAGGAACGGGCAGGUGGGCUGGGGGCCGAGGAGACGCCACCCACAUCGGUCAGCGAGUCCCUGCCCACCCUGUCUGACUCGGAUCCCGUGCCCCUGGCCCCCGGUGCGGCAGACUCAGACGACGACACAGAGGGCUUUGGAGUACCUCGCCACGACCCUUUGCCUGACCCCCUCAAGGUCCCCCCACCACUGCCUGACCCAUCCAGCAUCUGCAUGGUGGACCCCGAGAUGCUGCCCCCCAAGACAGCACGGCAAACGGAGAACGUCAGCCGCACCCGGAAGCCCCUGGCCCGCCCCAACUCACGCGCUGCCGCCCCUAAAGCCACUCCAGUGGCUGCUGCCAAAACCAAGGGGCUUGCUGGUGGGGACCGUGCCAGCCGACCACUCAGUGCCCGGAGUGAGCCCAGUGAGAAGGGA
rnacentral:sRNA from 1 species